CACACCCUGCGGUGGUGGCUUACCUGUUGCGGUGCGCGUCUGCAGUACAGCGGAGAGCAGCGCUGAGGAGAUGAUGGAGAGCAGCCACCGCGGGCGCUGGCCCUGCGCGGUCCUCCUGAAAGAAGUGAUAGCAGAGAAGCACAGAUGACAGUCCGCAACAAGCCUGGCCAGCCCAGUUCUGUGUUGCCUGCCUUUCAACAGAUGGGCUUGCCUGCGCUUCAGCUUAUCAGUCCGGAGUGUGCGUGGAUAACGCAGAAGACUCCUUUACAACUCUCUCAGCAAAGCCCUGUGUACACACCUGCUGAUCCAGCUGCCGUGGAUGCCACUAUCCUGCCAAGCUCAGAACAAGCUGCUGUUGUAUGCCACAGUCCAUUUGGCUCUCGCGGGCGCCCAGCACACCUUUGCCUUUCAAGUCCUGGUGGUGCCUCUGGUGUCGUUAGUACUUCCUGGGGUCUAGGUCACUUCCGCAUCGCUAUCUCAAAGUGGGAAAAGCAGUCCCCAGAGCACCUACUUGACUUUCCCUGCAGAAGUCAAGUUGCUGAUUGAUGCAAAGGCUCUUCCGGAAGCUCGUGUGCACGUGAGCGAUGUGAAAUGUGGAGUACCCAGUGAGGCACUUGAGAUUAGGGUCCAAAGGUCCAAAAACGCAGGCAAACUGUGGGAACAGGCAGAAAGACUUCCCAAGUCAUCUACUGCCUUACACCAGGGCCCCUUCUUCAGCUCACAUCUAUGGCUUCAUGGGUGGUCUCCUGCCAUCAGUAAUCAAGAGACAUGGGGAGCCGAGCUGUGUCAUAGAUAAUUCAGGGUGCUGUGCGGGAGCUCCUGGGGUGCAGACGUAUAGUCUUGCAUCUCCCAACGUAAGACCCCAAAGGACGAAAGUGAAGAGAAUCCUCCCCUCUAGUUACGGCCUUACGUUGUGCCCCUGGCCCACUUCUCUGAGAGAGGGAGGAGUGGUCUCAGAGGCACAAAGAGGCCUGAAAAGUUGGUGCAGGUCUUGGAUGGUGGUCAGCAGUCUGAAAGGCACGGUUGAUUCCAAGCAGGAAGAUCCAGGAAGGGCCAAGGAGAUACUAGCAGCUCAAGUACCUGAUGUGCAAGCGUGAGGACCUGAGUUCAGAAACCACAUAAAAGCCCUGUGUGGGGCGAGCACCUGUAACUCCAGCACAGAGACCGGCAGCUCCUGGGGCUUGCUGGCCAGCCAGACUACAUGAAAUAACAAGUGAUGAGAUCUACGCUCGGCAAGAGACCCUGUCUCUCUGAAAAUAAAUAAGGCUGAGAGUGAUAGGGAAAGCCCCCCCACAGUUGAUCUCUGGUCUCCACAGGGACAAGCUCUCAUGCAGUCACCGCCAACCCCCCCCCCCCCAUCACACACAUGAGAAAAGGCAGCGCAGAGGAACGUGGACUGCCCUGCACAAGCCCAAAGCCUGUGCCUCUCCCACUGCUCACCGGGGACUGUCCACCCCAGAGAAGACUGCAAGCAGCCUCCUGUGAAGGGCAGCCAGUCUUCUUGUCAGACAGCGUGGACUCUUCCCCCUCUAAAGUAGAUCUAGUCACUGACCAUGCUGGCCAUCUAAGCCGCCAGCUACCAAUGCCCACACUGAGGUCUCCAUAUGACACCCCUCAGAAAGACCAGUCGCCAACCUGGUAACAGACAGACCGAGUGAGCCUUUCUCCCCAGCACCAAGACAGCUGGCGUUGGUUGCCUGGCCUGGAUGAGUGCCUUUGCCAGCUCUGCCGCAUCCCCUAACACACAAUGCUUGCCUCAUCUAUCUUGUGCCCACAGGGUGUUGUUCAAAUGAAAAGACCCAUUUUAUGGCAGAAGAAGAGUGACAGGGAAUGAACAGCCAUUCAAGGAACAGCUGGGCAUUGUUGUGGUAGAAAUGCCUGUUAAAGGAUCAGUGAGGGCACCAGCCUAGGGACAGCCUGGAGAGGUGCUCACCUCGUGGAACUCACCUGCAGAGUGUGGCAGACAUAGUCACUGACUGGCCAACAUAGUGACUGUGUCUCCAGAACUUAUGAUACAGAUGUCCCAUAGUAUCCACAGAUAAUUGGGCCUCCUGAAACUCAAUCCAAAAGUGCUCAAGCUUCUCAGAUAAAAUGCAGCAAUAUUUGCUUAUCUGUGUAACCCUCCCAUAUAUUUUAUUUAUUUUUAAA